AUUACUUUUUUUUAUCUGAUAUGUGGGUCAAUGAAUUACACGAUAUUAAAUUAUUUUUUUGAGGGGGAGAAGCCAUCUCAGUAGUUUGCUUCUGAGCUUCUCAAAUGUCGCCUUUGCGUUGCACUAUUGCAUGGACUGACGCACCCCAC
rnacentral:snRNA from 2 species